GAUGAACGCUGGCGGCGUGCCUAAUACAUGCAAGUCGAGCGAACAGAUGAGGAGCUUGCUCCUCUGACGUUAGCGGCGGACGGGUGAGUAACACGUGGAUAACCUACCUAUAAGACUGGGAUAACUUCGGGAAACCGGAGCUAAUACCGGAUAAUAUAUUGAACCGCAUGGUUCAAUAGUGAAAGACGGGUUUGCUGUCACUUAUAGAUGGAUCCGCGCCGCAUUAGCUAGUUGGUAAGGUAACGGCUUACCAAGGCAACGAUGCGUAGCCGACCUGAGAGGGUGAUCGGCCACACUGGAACUGAGACACGGUCCAGACUCCUACGGGAGGCAGCAGUAGGGAAUCUUCCGCAAUGGGCGAAAGCCUGACGGAGCAACGCCGCGUGAGUGAUGAAGGUCUUCGGAUCGUAAAACUCUGUUAUUACGGAAGAACAAAUGUGUAAGUAACUAUGCACGUCUUGACGGUACCUAAUCAGAAAGCCACGGCUAACUACGUG
rnacentral:rRNA from 1 species